rnacentral:tRNA from 1 species
CACUCGUAGCUUAACGGAUAGAGCAUCUGACUACGGAUCAGAAGGUUGCAGGUUCGAAUCCUGCCGAGUGCACACCA